rnacentral:rRNA from 1 species
UGGGGAAUUUUGGACAAUGGGCGAAAGCCUGAUCCAGCAAUGCCGCGUGUGUGAAGAAGGCCUUCGGGUUGUAAAGCACUUUUGUCCGGAAAGAAAUCCUUGGCUCUAAUACAGUCGGGGGAUGACGGUACCGGAAGAAUAAGCACCGGCUAACUACGUGCCAGCAGCCGCGGUAAUACGUAGGGUGCAAGCGUUAAUCGGAAUUACUGGGCGUAAAGCGUGCGCAGGCGGUUUGCUAAGACCGAUGUGAAAUCCCCGGGCUCAACCUGGGAACUGCAUUGGUGACUGGCAGGCUAGAGUAUGGCAGAGGGGGGUAGAAUUCCACGUGUAGCAGUGAAAUGCGUAGAGAUGUGGAGGAAUACCGAUGGCGAAGGCAGCCCCCUGGGCCAAUACUGACGCUCAUGCACGAAAGCGUGGGGAGCAAACAGGAUUAGAUACCCUGGUAGUCCACGCCCUAAAACGAUGUCAACUAGUUGUUGGGGGAUUCAUUUCCUUAGUAACGUAGCUAACGCGUGAAGUUGACCGCCUGGGGAGUACGGUCGCAAGAUUAAAACUCAAAUGAAUUGACGGGGUCA